AUUGAACGCUGGCGGCAGGCCUAACACAUGCAAGUCGAACGAGUGGCGGACGGGUGAGUAAUGUCUGGGAAACUGCCUGAUGGAGGGGGCUAACUACUGGAAACGGUAGCUAAUACCGCAUACCAUCGGAUGUGCCCAGAUGGGAUUAGCUAGUGGGUGGGGUAAAGGCUCACCUAGGCGACGCUCCCUAGCUGGUCUGAGAGGAUGACCAGCCACACUGGAACUGAGACACGGUCCAGACUCCUACGGGAGGCAGCAGUGGGGAAUAUUGCGCAAUGGGCGAAAGCCUGAUACAGCCAUGCCGCGUGUAUGAAGAAGGCCUUCGGGUUGUAAAGUACUUUCAGCGGGGAGGCGUUACCCGCAGAAGAAGCACCGGCUAACUCCGUGCCAGCCGCCGCGGUAAUUC
rnacentral:rRNA from 1 species